rnacentral:lncRNA from 1 species
AAAGGUGCAACACCAUCGGCACGCACAAAAGGAGAAAGCCGUCCAAGUUUUUUGGAAACUGAACUCAUGAAUGAUCUUCGGGGCAAAGGAGGUUUAUCAGCAGAAGGUGAAGCACUUACCGCAGGACUGUUAACUGCAGAUUUAGGUGUGGUGGUCUCAAUCUCUUUCAGUCUCCUUUUCAAUUUCACCAGUUCUAAUUUCAGGUCUUGAUUUUCUCUUCUUAGAGUAGAGAGUUCAUUUGAAGCUGGCUGAAGAUCAGAGGAGUAUACGUUCAGUUUGGAAUCAACCGAGGAUUCCCCGCUUCCGUUGCCAUUCAUGGCAUCGCGAAGCCGUUGCUGUUCGUAAUAGAGAACCUGAACCACGGUUUGGACAGGUAGC